AAACAACCUGGGAAACAGAUCAGGGCAGUCCAUGGCAAAUUCCCGCAUUGCAGAUUCUGAUGGCAGAUAAUUAUUGGGUGGCUAUUACAUGCCAGUGACGGUGACCGGCACUGGGCGGAGAGGUGAACAGGAUGAGACCCCUGUCCUCGAGGGACUCCUGCUCCAGUGUGAGAAAAGAGGUUCCUCGACAAAUUAAACCCUGGGGCAAGAAAGAACAGCCUGGAAGUUCACUCUGGCAGCUUGAUGGCAGAUUUCAUGGAACAAUGGCAAAGGGACUGGUGAAGWUCAGAAGCCAAACCAUUCUUUCCAAAGAAGGUACAUAUUGAAGAUUUAUGGAUAUCUGCGACACGUUUUCAAAUAAUCCAAUGGAGCACCAAAGAAAAUAUGCUGGUUACUGGAG